GUUACGGCCCUGGUUGUACCCUGUGAAGUACUUUCAAUGAAAUGGUGCCAUACAAACUAAUCUUAAUCUGAACUUCAGCACAACACUUGUCUUCUUUUUGUCACUAAUAUUGGUUUUGUUUUUUCAAGGAGCAGAAGUUAGCUCUGUACAAUGGCAGGCAGUUCUUGGAGGGAUCGUUGGGAUCAUUGCACUCAUCUGCCUGGUUGUCUGUGUUUGAUUUUUAAAGUCAACACAUCCAACUACACAACAGACUCAGAGUCAAACAUACGAAGAGCUGCCAUUUCAAGACCCAGCAAGUAAAACUAAAGAAAAAGAAGACAUCCAUUAUGGAGAGAUCGACUUCUCCAAGCGGAGACGUGAUUGGUCCUCUGACUCAGUGCAGGACAGUGGACAGCAGCAGGAUACUCUGUAUGCACAGGUCAAAGUGUCCCAGCCAGCAAACAGCUUAACACAGACUGCUGACGGGCCAGAGGAUCUCUACGCUCAAGUGAAGAAAAAAUGAGGAGUGUGUUGUGGUCACAUUUGGACUGCAUUCUUACUUUUUAUUUUAUUUACUUUGUCAGUUAAUUUAGAAAGAGACACUGGACAGGAAAAUAUCUUCACUUUACUGAAAGUCAAGACCUCCACACCCUGCAGCUGGUUUCAUCUUUCACACGUUAUCACAUUAUAGUUCAAAUGUAUGUGCUGACCUCAUAAGGACGUUGAUGCUGUGUGAUAAGUCAUCUCUUUUUCAGAAAUGGGGAAGUGAUAAAGGGAACUAUUCAAAAUGACAUGAGAAUAAAUUACUGUGAACUUGAACCCAAAGCUGUUUUAUACACACAUUACUAGUGUUGUAAUAUUAUAUUUGAAAUGUUCAUUUUGCAAUAUUUUACAAUUAAUUUUUAACAAGGCAUU